GAUAAAAUGGCCGAUUAAAAGCAAUAAACUGUAAAUUUAUUAAUGAAAAUUUUUCUUUUAUCA
rnacentral:tRNA from 1 species